GGGGGUAUAGCUCACUGGUAGAGCACAUGCUUAGCAUGCACAAGUUCCUGUGUUCAAUACACCAGUACCUCCA
rnacentral:tRNA from 1 species